rnacentral:lncRNA from 1 species
CAGACACAUCUUCUUCAGCAUCAGUGGAAGAUACUGCUACAGCCUCAGCUACACUAGCAUAGCUCUUUCUACAACAAAAAUCAUUGCUAUUCACUUGGUUUUUGAUUAAGGGUCUGCUCAAAAACUCAUCCCCAGGCAAAUAUUCGCCAAGAUUCUGAAACCCCAUCUCAAUAUUUGAACAAGAAAUUGGAAUUAAGGAUCUAAAGCAAAAAUCAUUGUUAUUCACUUGGUUUUUGAUUAAGGGUCUGCUCAAAAACUCAUCCCCAGGUAAAUAUUCGCCAAGAUUCUGAAACCCCAUCUCAGUAUUUGAACAAGAAAUUGGAAUUAAGGAUCUAAAUUUCGUUUUGUCCUUACAUUGAAUCUUGACCAAAACCAAGAAAGCUAUAAGUACGAUUCUUGGAGCUAAAAAGAAGCUUUUGUGGGGUUCUUGAAAGAGGUGUUUGAUUAUAUUUCUCCACAUAAUAGGGGAAUUGUGAUAUGGGUUUAUAUCUAAACCUGUGGGUUUAUCAGUGAAUUGGUUUAGUUUGAUGGUAAGGGAAAUGGGGGUUUUAGUGCUGGACAUCAAAUUUGUUCAAAAAAAUUUAGGUUGGAAUAAAUAUAGGAGAGCAGUGAAUUGAUGGAUCAGUAGAAGCGCAGAAAUUCAUGAGACUGAAGUCUGAAGGGUAAGUAGAGGAAAAAUAGUGGAAUCUGAUGGCUGAUCUCUCAGGAAGGUGGCUAUAGAAGGAAACCGACUUUAUAAACCCUCCUUAAACCUUUGGGUCCGAUGUCGCUAAUCAGCAAAUCUGUAGCCUAUGCACUGUGGUUACCUUUUGACACUUCGUUAUAUUUCAUCUGCUUUACGGGCUAGCCCCGACCAAGCGCCACGUGUAUGCCUCUUUCAGAAUUUUUGGAAGAAAGUUUUUCUUUCACUAAGAGACAAAAAGAUAAGCCAUAAUUUGGAUUUUUAAUGCAUUUUGGAUGUGAGAAUUUCUCUUAAUAUGAUUAAAUCAGUUUUAAAUACUUUUUGAAAG